AAACGACUUUCUUCAAGUGCUUUACCGAUUUAUACAACAGUAAGCGAAUGUAAAAACCGGGUUUGGAUAUCAUAUCUUGAAAUCCAAUGUGUAGAGGUGACCCCUCUUUACAAAAAUAGUAGUAUACAAUAAAUGGAGUAAUAAAAAAAAAAAAACGUCGUCAGUGACACUCGCCCGACUACUAAAUUCGAUUUUAUGAUUUCGUAUCGCACGUGAACGUGACUACCGAGCGAAAACCGAGCAAUGUUUCGCGUGGGAGGGUAAAGGAAAAUGCAAUCGGUGUCGGUGAAUUUCGGCCCAAUUCCUAAAUCACGUACGAAUUGCAGCCCGGGUUUAUGAGAGGGACGUACGAAUUGCAACACAUUAUAAUUAUAUCAGUCUAUUAUAUGCCACC